GUAGAUCCACGCCAUGCGUGGAUGUUCUUCGAUGAAUUGUCGGAAUAUUCGAUUUCGAUGGAGAUUCAUCCACGCAUGGCGUGGAUCUAC
rnacentral:ncRNA from 3 species